rnacentral:rRNA from 1 species
AUACGUAGGGGGCAAGCGUUAUCCGGAUUUACUGGGUGUAAAGGGAGCGUAGACGGCGAAGCAAGUCUGAAGUGAAAGGACGGGGCCCAACCCCGGAACUGCUUUGGAAACUGUUUGGCUGGAGUGCGGGAGGGGUAAGCGGAAUUCCUAGUGUAGCGGUGAAAUGCGUAGAUAUUAGGAGGAACACCGGUGGCGAAGGCGGCUUACUGGACCGUAACUGACGUUGAGGCUCGAAGGCGUCGGGAGCAAACAGGAUUAGAUACCCUGGUAGUCCACGCGGUAAACGAUGAUCACUAGGUGUCCGUGGGUAUGACCCAUGGGUGCCGCAGCCAACGCAAUAAGUGAUCCACCUGGGGAGUACGUUCGCAAGAAUGAAACUCAAAGGAAUUGACGGGG